rnacentral:rRNA from 1 species
CAGUCGCCACGGUAAGACAGAGGAUGCAAGCGUUAUCCGGAAUGAUUGGGCGUAAAGCGUCUGUAGGUGGCUUUUCAAGUCUGUCGUCAAAUCCCAGGGCUCAACCUGGGAACUGCAUUUGUGACUGGCGGGCUGGAGUAUGGCAGAGGGGGGUAGAAUUCCACGUGUAGCAGUGAAAUGCGUAGAGAUGUGGAGGAAUACCGAUGGCGAAGGCAGCCCCCUGGGCCAAUACUGACGCUCAUGCACGAAAUCUAGGGGAGCAAAUGGGAUUAGAUACCCCCGUAGUCCCUGUCUCUUAUAC